UUGACGGUGUUCGACCGUUGUCCGCCCUUAAUGGAUUGGGUGGGCUGCCUAGGACAUCCAGGAAAUAGCAUCUACGUUAAGACCGUACCCCAAACCGACACAGGUGGGCUGGUAGAAAAUACCAAGGCGCUUGAGAGAACUGCAUUGAAGGAACUCGGCAAAUUACUCCUGUAACUUCGGGAUAAAGGAGCCCCAUUGUAAGGCAACUUAUGGUGGGGGACACAAAAUAGGGGGUGGCGACUGUUUAACUAAAACACAGGGCUCUGCGAACACGAAAGUGGACGUAUAGGGUCUGACGCCUGCCCGGUGCUGGAAGGUCAAGAGGAGAGGUGCAAGCCUUGAAUUGAAGCCCCAGUAAACGGCGGCCGUAACGAUAACGGUCCUAAGGUAGCGAAAUUCCUUGUCGGGUAAGUUCCGACCUGCACGAAUGGCGUAACGAUCUCCCCACUGUCUCCAAUGCAGACUCAGCGAAAUAGAACUCUAGGUUAAGAUGCCUAGUACCCGUGGUCAGACGGAAGGACCCCAUGAACCUUUACUGUAGCUUUGCAGUGGCCGUAGGAUUAUCUUGUGUAGGAUAGGUGGGAGACUUUGAAGCAGGGGCGCUAGCUCUUGUGGAGUCAACCUUGAAAUACCACCCUGGCUAAUCUUACGGUCUAACCACAACCCGUUAUCCGGGUUUGGGACCCUGCAUGGUGGGCAGUUUGACUGGGGCGGUCGCCUCCCAAGGCGUAACGGAGGCGUACGAAGGUUCGCUCAGGUUGGUCGGAUAUCAACCGUCGAGUGCAAUGGCAAAAGCGAGCUUGACUGCGAGACGUACAUGUCGAGCAGAUACGAAAGUAGGUCAUAGUGAUCCGGUGGUUCCUCGAGGAAGGGCCAUCGCUCAACGAAUAAAAGGUACUCUGGGGAUAACAGGCUGAUACUGCCCAAGCGUCCACAGCGACGGCAGUGUUUGGCACCUCGACGUCGGCUCAUCUCAUCCUGGGGCUGUAGUAGGUCCCAAGGGUAUGGCUGUUCGCCAUUUAAAGAGGUACGUGAGCUGGGUUCAGAACGUCGUGAGACAGUUCAGUCCCUAUCUGCCAUGGGUGUUGGAUAUUUGAGAGGAGCUGCCCUUAGUACGAGAGGACCGGGGUGGACAUACCUCUGGUGGACCAGUUGUCACGCCAGUGGCAUAGCUGGGUAGCUACGUAUGGACUAGAUAACCGCC
rnacentral:rRNA from 1 species